GUAGGUGGCAAGCGUUGUCCGGAAUUAUUGGGCGUAAAGCGCGCGCAGGCGGUUCUUUAAGUCUGAUGUGAAAGCCCACGGCUCAACCGUGGAGGGUCAUUGGAAACUGGAGAACUUGAGUACAGAAGAGGAAAGCGGAAUUCCACGUGUAGCGGUGAAAUGCGUAGAGAUGUGGAGGAACACCAGUGGCGAAGGCGGCUCUCUGGUCUGUAACUGACGCUGAGGCGCGAAAGCGUGGGGGAGCAAACAGGAUUAGAUACCCUGGUAGUCCACGCCGUAAACGAUGAGUGCUAAGUGUUAGGGGGUUUCCGCCCCUUAGUGCUGCAGCUAACGCAUUAAGCACUCCCGCCUGGGAGUACGGCCGCAAGGCUG
rnacentral:rRNA from 1 species